rnacentral:rRNA from 1 species
AAUGAACGUUGGCGGCAUGGAUUAGGCAUGCAAGUCGAGCGAGAAGAGUUUUGAAGCUUGCUUUAGAACUCGGACAGCGGCGAAAGGGAGAGUAACGCGUAGUUAUGUGCCCUAGGGUCCGGAAUAGCCACGGGAAACUGUGGGUAAUGCCGGAUAAUAUCCCCGGAUCAAAGGUGUGAUUCCGCCCUAGGAGCAGACUGCGUCCUACUAGCUAGUUGGUGGGGUAAUGGCCUACCAAGGCAAUGAUGGGUAGCGGGUGUGAGAGCAUGACCCGUCUCACUGGGACUGAGACACUGCCCAGACACCUACGGGUGGCUGCAGUCGAGAAUCUUCGGCAAUGGGCGAAAGCCUGACCGAGCGAUGCCGCGUGCGGGAUGAAGGCCCUCGGGUUGUAAACCGCUGUCGUAGGGGAGGAAGGUUCCGUGAAGAGCGGAAUUUGACCUAUCCUAGGAGGAAGUACGGGCUAAGUUCGUGCCAGCCGCCGCGGUAAAAC